GACGAACGCUGGCGGCGUGCUUAACACAUGCAAGUCGAACGGACAGACAGAGAGCUUGCUCUCUUGAAGUUAGUGGCGAACGGGUGAGUAACGCGUAAUCAACCUGCCCUUCAGAGGGGGAUAACAACGGGAAACCGUUGCUAAUACCGCGUACGAUUCAUGAACGGCAUCGUUUAUGAAUGAAAGGUGGCCUCUAUGUAUAAGCUAUCGCUGAAGGAGGGGAUUGCGUUUGAUUAGCUAGUUGGAGGGGUAACGGCCCACCAAGGCAAUGAUCAGAGGCAGGUGUGGAAGGGUGAACGGCCACAUUGGGAUAGGGACACGGCCGAAGAUCAUACGGGAGGCAGCAGUGGGGAAUCUUCCGUAAUGUACGAAAGUCUGACGGAGCAGCGCCGGGUGAGUGAUGAAGGUCUUCGGAUUGUAAAGCUCUGUUAAUCGGGACGAAAGAGUUCUGCGUGAAUAAUGCAGAAAAGUGGCGGUACCGGAAUAGAAAGCCACGGCUAACUACGUGCCAGCAGCCGCCGUAA
rnacentral:rRNA from 1 species